CCUGAAUUCAUUCUUAUUUUUCCCCAUUCGUAGGCUGGUUAUCAAUAUUAAUGAAGAAACGGGUGAAAACCUGUAUAUUUUUUGCCGCUGAGACCUGGUGGGGAACUACUGACAAAUAUGUAGCACGAGAUAACCCACGGGGUCAGCACGAUCUAGAGGCUCACCGGGGGGGCCGGUGGAUCCGAAUGAGCCCUGACGGACGCGACGGGGAACCGGGCACUAAUUGCACAGAAGCAGACAGAGGGCUGACGUGUGAAAGAAAUGCGCCCGGUCUCCGGCCCGGAAGCUCUGGGUGCAAAUCCGUCAUUGACCGGGGAUGACCCUGCACUUCCCAGCCGUGUGACCUUGGCCAGGAAACCGCCUCCACCUGCCUUGGUUUGGAGCGGAGUCGGGGAUGCUUGCAACACGGUGGCCUCUUCCCAGGACGGUGACAUAGACCCAGAGGGCCACCCCCUGCAAAGGGCGUUUGCAGACCCCAGAGGGGCUCUGUGGAAUGUGAAUUAUUCUGAUCCCUUUGGCCUGUAGGGCUCCGGUCGGUGUAUCCCGGGCUCCUCGGGGGUCCGUGUAGGGUGGGGACUCCCGUUCCUGUAGCAGGAGCCUCCGGUACCACGUGUGCCUCUGCCAUUUGAAUUGUGCUGUGUUCUCAGGCAGUGAUGACCCUGCCAGCACAUGUCCUCAUGACUCUCACGUGGGGACAUUUUGCUCAAUAGUCGUUCACGGCGCCCCCUGUGCGGCCGGGGAGCCCCUCGUGGACGGGGACGCGUUCUCCGGGAAACCGAAUCAACACGACUCUGUUGCGAUGGACAUGGCGUGUGAGCAAAACCCUCCCGCGGAGGGGCAGGGUGCACGGACCUCGGGAGUCACCGGAUGUCAGCAGAGCGUCAACUCCUGCGUGUGCAGCAGGCGUCGCAUCAUUCGCCGCGUGGACCGACCACCCGGCCACAUGGAAAAAUCCUGGAGGCUGCCACUUAUAUAAUUUUUGACUAUUUUCAUUGUAACUGUGUUUUCUCGUCCCUCCGAGACGUGCCCUGGGAGUGACCCAGCUCCCCCUGCACCACACACACACAGACACACACACGGAGACACACACACACACCACAAUUUCCUCUCGGGGAGGCUCACCCGAGACCCACGCCAUGUCGUGUUGGUCGCCUUGCUUUCCCCGACUGACUAGCCCACAGGGUGUGUGUCUGUGUGCAUGUGUG
rnacentral:lncRNA from 1 species